rnacentral:rRNA from 1 species
CACGUAGGGCGCAAGCGUUGUCCGGAAUUAUUGGGCGUAAAGAGCUCGUAGGCGGUCUGUUGCGUCCGCUGUGAAAACUCGGGGCUUAACCCCGAGCCUGCAGUGGAUACGGGCAGACUAGAGGUAGGUAGGGGAGAAUGGAAUUCCCGGUGUAGCGGUGAAAUGCGCAGAUAUCGGGAGGAACACCGGUGGCGAAGGCGGUUCUCUGGGCCUUACCUGACGCUGAGACGCGAAAGCGUGGGGAGCAAACAGG